rnacentral:lncRNA from 1 species
ACGAUUAGAUUGUUAGUAAUCCAAAGUCCAUUCCAAAAGUAUAUAAAUAUAGGUUUGAGGUAAAUGGGUAGGUGAUUGUAUUUAUUAUCUUUUGUAGGUAACCUCACUGUUGAACCCACUAAAUCUUUACCGACUUUAACAUCGGAGUACCUUCUGCAGGUAACUUCGAGUUUGACUGAAAGAUGUGAAGGAUGAAUAUGAUGACAAAAAUGAACAUCAUGACACAUAUAACUUAAUAAAGAGAUAAUCUCGAC